UAUAGUAGCAUCACAGAAGCAGUCAAGAAUGCCACGUUAGACAAAAGUCAGUAUUUCUAUUAUACAUUCUGUUUACAAGAAAUCAUAAGUUGGUCAAAGUAAGUCUAAGAAAACUUGGCAAAUAAAGCUUUGGACUGGAACUGGCAUUUCUUUCUCUACUUUUCCUUCCCCUAGAUUCUUUCUUUUAAACUAUGGUGUUCAUAUUUUAAAAUGUUUUAACUUAUUUCAAGACAUUAAUACAGCAGUUACGUUUUUGAAUAGUUAUUUGAAAGUGACUGUAAGAUAAAGUUUUAGAGAAGCUAUUAUGGAUAGGGGUGAUUUACAUUUUCAUGUUUUGUAGAAAGCAGCUUUGGUUUUAGAACUGAGUUUUUUCAUUUUGGGAAAACCUAUCAGGUUUAAUCAAACACUUUAAAAAUAAUUUUCAUAUAUUGCAGUCUUUCAAUAGGCAUUUUGAUUCUUUACUUCCUACAGAAAUUCAAAUUUAUUCAGUUGAACUCACACUUUAACUCUAACCUUCUAAUGUCGCCUUCUAAGCAAAUUGAAAGCUGCCUUAUACUGAAUGAGGAAGAGAACAAAUACUUGGCUGAAUGAGCUCUUAGAUGAUGGUGAUGUUUAUCUCCCUGAUCUCAGGACUGUGAAAACAAUGGCAUGCAGGGGUUGCUGCCCAAGCCUCGGUGCUCCUGGAGAGUCCUGCGUUAGAGGAAGCAGCUGCAAGAUCUGCUGUGCUGUGGGGUUGUCGUGGGGAGAACCCUCUCUGGCCUCUCCUGGUGCAGGCUCGACGCUGUCAGUGAGGCUCAGCCACGAAGAUCUUCAGACAGAGGGAGGAGGGGAUCUGAGGUCCACCUUGUCCUCCAUAAAGUUGCUCUGGAGCCAAAAUAAUGGGGUCACAUCUCAAGAACCACCUGCCUUGCCCCACCCACACCGUUCUUGGCCCCCUGAAGGGCUCGGUGGGUCUCCCCACACACAGACUCACCCCCAGUCCCUGGGGUCCUCUGGGAUGAAGCCCUUGGGUGAGCCAGGGGCUGGCAGCACACCCUUUGCUCUUCCUGGGCACUGGCUCCAGCGUCGUUUGAAAAAUGCCUGCAGAGGCAAAGAGGUGAAGGUAUUCUUGUAA
rnacentral:lncRNA from 1 species